rnacentral:rRNA from 1 species
UACGUAGGGGGCAAGCGUUGUCCGGAUUUAUUGGGCGUAAAGAGCGUGUAGGCGGCCAGACAAGUCUGCUGUGAAAACUCGAGGCUCAACCUCGAGCUGUCGGUGGAAACUGUCUGGCUAGAGUCCGGAAGAGGAGAGUGGAAUUCCUGGUGUAGCGGUGAAAUGCGCAGAUAUCGGGAGGAACACCUGUGGCGAAAGCGGCUCUCUGGACCACAACUGACGCUGAGGCGCGAAAGCUAGGGGAGCAAACAGG